UGUAUGUUUCCUUAUGAGAAGAUAUGUUCCUCUCUUGUAAGGAAGACUCUUGUAUUCAAAUUGGAAUACUCAGAAACUAAGAAAGCUCUAGGCACACGUAGGUACUAAAUACUUUUGCAUCAAGUAAUUAAUGCACCAACAGGAUAUUUCUGCUAUGAUCUUUUACCCACAAUGUGUAACAUAAAACAACAUAUAUCAUGGAGGCCCUUUAUAACAUUUUCUAUUUAAUUUUCAACAACAAAAAUGGUAAGAAUUAGUCCCUAAACAUCUUUUCUCACAUCAGCUGAUUCUUAUUGCAUCAGACUGAGCAGAACUGUGAUUUUCCAGGGAUCAGUGUCAUUUAGGGAUGUGACUAUGGGCUUCACUCAAGAGGAGUGGCAGCAUCUGGACCCUGCUCAGAGGACCCUGUACAGGAAUGUGAUGCUGGAGAACUACAGCCACCUUGUCUCAGUAGGGGUAUUGCAUUCCUAAACCAGAAGUGAUCCUCAAAUUGGAGACAGGCAAGGAGCCAUGGAUAUUAGAGGAAAAAUUUCGAAGCCAGAGUCAUCUGGGUGGGUUAGUGCCAGAUGGAAUUUAAAGAAUUAAUUAAUACCAGUAGAAACUAUUCAAGAACGAAGUUCAAUGAGUUUAACAAAGGUGGAAAAUGUUUCUGUGAUGAAAGCAUGAAAUAAUUCAUUUUGAAGAGGAACCUUCUGAAUAUAAUAAAAAUGGGAACAGCUUCUGGCUGAAUGAAGACCUCAUUUGGCAUCAGAAGAUUAAAAAUUGGGAGCAACCUUUUGAAUACAAUGAAUGUGGGAAAGCUUUCCCUGAGAAUUCACUCUUCCUUGUACAUAAGAGAGCUUACACAGGACAGAAAACAUGCAAAUAUACUGAACAUGGGAAAACCUGUUAUAUGUCAUUUUUUAUUACUCAUCAGCAAACACAUCCAAGAGAGAACCACUAUGAAUGUAAUGAAUGUGGAGAAAGUAUCUUUGAGGAAUCCAUUCUCUUUGAACAUCAGAAUGUUUACCCAUUCAGCCAGAAUUUAAAUCCCACUCUAAUUCCGAGAACCCACUCAAUUAGCAAUAUUAUUGAAUAUAAUGAAUGUGGAACCUUUUUCAGUGAAAAAUUAGCCCUUCAUUUACAACAGAGAACACAUCCAGGGGAAAAACCUUAUGAAUAUCAUGAAUGUGGAAAAACCUUCACCCAGAAGUCAGCCCACACAAGACAUCAGAGAACACACACAGGGAAAACCCUAUGAAUGUCAUGGAUGUGGGAAGACCUUCUAUAAGAAUUCAGACCUCAUUAGAAAUCAAAGAAUUCACACAGGGGAGAGACCUUACAGAUGUCAUGAAUGGAGAAAUCCUUCAGUGAAAAGUCAUCCCUUACUCAACAUCAGAGAACACACGCGGGGAGAAAUCAUAUGAAUGUCAUGAAUGUGGGAAAACCUCGUUUAAGUCAGUUCUAACUGUGCAUCAGAAAACACACAGGGGAGAAGCCCUAUGAAUGCUAUGCAUGUGGGAACACCUUUCUUGGAAAAUCCGACCUCAUUAAACAUCAGAGAAUUCACACAGGAGAAAAACCUUAUGAAUGUAAUGAAUGUGGGAAGUCAUUCUCUGAGAAGUCAACCCUUACUAAACAUCUAAGAACACACAGAUGGGAAAUCUUAUGAAUGUAUUCAAUGUGGAAAAUUUUUCUGCUGCUACUACAGUUUCACAGAACAUCUGAGAAGACACACAGGGGAGAAACCUUUUGGAUGUAAUGAAUGUGGGAAAACCUUCCAUCAGAAGUCGGCCCUAAUUGUUCACCAGAGAACUCAUAUAAGACAGAAACCCUAUGGAUGUAAUGAAUAUGGAAAAUCAUUCUGUGUGAAGUCAAAACUCAUUGCACAUCAUAGAACAUACAAAGGGGAGAAACCCUAUGAAUGUAAUGUUUGUGGAAAAUUAUUAUUAAGUCAAAACUAACUGUACAUCACAGAACACACUUGAGGUGAAACCCUAUAAAUGUAGUAAGUGAGGGAAAUUACUCUGGGUGAAGUCAGAACUUUGUAGAGCAGAGAACAUAAAGGGUGAGAGAAAUCUGUUAAUAUAAUGAUAAUGAGAACACCUUUGCCCUGAAGUCAGUUCUCACAGUAGAGAAGAGAACUUAAAGAGGGAAAAAACAAUAUGAAGAUAUGGAAUGCAGGAAAACAUUAUUCUGGGAUUUGGGCCAUAGAUUAUGUUUAAAAACUAAAAGUGAAAAACACUUAUUGGUGAAUGAAUAUAGGAAACAUUUUGCUCAAUGCCACACCUCAGUAAACAUCAGAGAGUUCACACAGGGUGAAACCUGGCUCAGCAUCCCUAAGUUGAGAAGGGAUGCAUUUUUUUUUGCUACUACUACAGUUUCACAGAAUAUCUGAGAAGACACACAGGGGAGAAACUUUUUGGGUGUAAUGAAUGUGGGAAAACCUUUCACCAGAAGUGAGCCCUAAUUGUUCACCACAGAACUCAUAUAAGACAGAAACCCUAUGGAUGUAAUGAAUGUGGAAAAUCAUUCUGUGUGAAGUCAAGAGGCCACAGAAAAUGCACAAACUAUAGGAAAGCAUUUACUAUGAGGUUAUAUUUUAUAGAGUAUAUGUAAUAAGAAGUACCUUCUUAGUGAACAUCAGAUAGUAGAGGAAGUAUUUUUAACUGUAUCCAAUGUGUGGACAUUUUAGGUUAAAAUCUAAAUUUAAUAUAGACCAGAGGUGUUGAAUUGCAGGAUAUCUAGCAAUUUAAGAAAAUGUAGAGAAAAGGUUUUUUUUGUUUUUU
rnacentral:lncRNA from 1 species